AAUUGCUUGCUAAAAUGAAUGAAUGAUGGAUGUGUUUGCCACUGUUUGGUUUUUCUCGUCUCUCAAGAUACUGCCAGGCCUAUUUUUGGCAAAAUAGAGAUGGAUAGUUUAUCUCAGAGCCCUUCUCCCUUGGCUUCCCACAACCGUCUCUAUCCUUAUUUGGCAGCCUGUGACCUCCUCCAUCAUGGGUUACCUGAGCAAAUGAUCAAUACAUCCAAUUUAUACCAGACUGAAAAUGAUGGAUAGCACCAUCUUUCUUCAUAUAUAUGUUGUGGAUAAACCCUGAUCCAACAGGAUGAGGUUUAAUGGCUAAAGCCAGGCCCCUUCAUGGGCCUCUGCUCUGGAUACUCCAUUUUCACAUUUGCUGGUCCUGUGUCUUUCCAGGUUUCCCCACCACAUAACUCAGUGGCGCCUGAGAGCUAGAACUCCUAGAACUGCAGAGGUAAUGCCAGUACCCCACACAGCAAGGUCCUCUGGUCUCUGCCCCAAAAUGAUGAGGACUGCCUACCCACACACAGCCAUUGGUUGCUGGAAUGCCAAGUAGCCAUUUGCCCAUGCCUGCUGUCUGGGGCCAGGUUCACAGAGUAACAUUCCCUCUAAAUAAAGAUCUCUGGACACUUGCGCAUCUGUCUGUCCUCGUCCAACCCCCUAGACCAGAUGGACAAUAGAGUCAGCCCAGACUCUCAAGAAGGCCUCCAAGGACUGGGCGCUGGUAUCACAGGCAUGAGGCACCACAGCUUCUUAUCCUUUCUCAUCUUGGCAGCUACAGGCGACAGCUUUGCCAAGGUGUGGUUCUUGGUAUCUUGAUGGCCCCUCCUGUUGUGAGCUUUCCAAGUGUCUGCCACCUCUCACCAGUAGCUCUUUGAUCUCACCUGUAAUUAAAAUUUCACUUGUGCAGUUCUCAGUUUUAAAAUGUUUUCAUUGGCCCACACAUGUUGAAAGUGUAAACUGGACUUUCAUUCAGGGGGUCAUCCCCACCUGCAGGGAGGAAUGGCGGGAGAAGGCACCUGCUAGCAUUCUGUUUUGGUUUGGUUUGGUGUGGUUUGUUUUUGGUUUUGGG
rnacentral:lncRNA from 1 species